ensembl:lncRNA
CUGACCUCUGCCUGCCGUUCUGUACCUUACUGACUCUGCCCUGGAUUACUGACCUCUGCCUGCCCUAACCCCGAGCCUGCCUGCCGUUCUUUACCUUACUGACUCUGCCCUGGAUUACUGAUCUCUGCCUGCCCUAACCCCGAACCUGCCUGCCGUUCUGUACCUUACUGACUCUGCCCUGGAUUACUGACCUCUGCCUGCCCUAACCCCGAACCUGCCUGCCGUUCUGUACCUUACUGACUCUGCCCUGGAUUACUGACCUCUGCCUGCCCUAACCCCGAACCUGCCUGCCGUUCUGUACCUUACUGACUCUGCCCUGGAUUACUGACCUCUGCCUGCCCUAACCCCGAGCCUGCCUGCCGUUCUGUACCUUACUGACUCUGCCCUGGAUUACUGACCUCCUGCCUGCUCUUGACCUGUCUUUUGUCUGUCCCCUGAUUUGUCAAUAAAUAACUGUGCUUCGAACUGUCUGCAUAUGGGCCUUAUCCUGAGUCGUGAUAUUCAGGCACUGGAAAAAAAUCAGAAUUCACACAAGUUCCAAUCAAAAAUGUAUCUUUCGAGCAGUGUUUUUUAAAUAGUAUGUUAAUUCUGUAGAUAAUCCUCUAAGUAUUCCAAUGGUCCAAACCUCGUGUCUAUCAUAACCCGUUCGAGUUAUUGGAGUCUUUACCCUUGUGGGAUGGUCAGAAUUCGGGUGACUAAAUCAAUGGAGGCCGGAGGGGGAAAAAAGUGGUAAAAAAAAGUGGAAAAUUGCAUUGUGUCAGCUAGGCUGGAUUCUGUGGCAGAUUUAAGGCUAUUGGCUACCUGACAGGCUCACUUCCCUGUUGAACUGGUCAUCUUUCUUCUCCAAUCCGCAGGACAUAAAACAAUAUAGAGCUAAGAUGGAUAUCGAUUUUGAGACAUGACGUAUUUUCAUAUUUUAGUACACACUUUUCAUAUGAAUUGGAAAUUCCUGUUCUUUUAUGCUUGUUUGUAAGAAAUGAUUGAAUCUCUAUAAAAUGAACGCUGAGCAUUCCAAGCUUUUUAUUAUCAGUCUUUUACAUUUAAUUCAUUCUCAUUUGCUUUUUGCGACCUGUUAACUACUUGGAAGACGAUGACCUCAAAAUGUAACAUCUUUAGAAGUUAUGAGAAACCUGUACCACGAUGUCAACAGAUCUUGGUGCUUAUUAUCGUAUGUAUUAGAUUACGAAAUCCAACUUUUUGGAUAUAAUACUAAUAUGUUAGAGAAAGACCCCACAAUGAUUCAGACAUGAAUAAUCAUAUUUGUCUUGGUAAAAUGUAUUUGAUAACAUAAGGAAGUGAAAUUUCAUCACCAAAGUGCGUCUUGGCAGAGUGGGUGGACACUGUGCAUUGUUUUGAAACCACCAAUGAUAGUGUUGGCAGAUUUCACACUGCACCAGUCUUUACAUUGUGUCAUUCAGUCAUCGGUCUAUAACUUCUGCUCUUUGAUGCGUGUUUGAUUAGUGUGAUUGGAUGUGGCAGUAAUCAAAAGAGAUGUAUACCACAUGGUGUUCAGUUAUACCGAAGCUCCCAGCUAUCCACCUGUCCCCCCCCUUCUGCUCUCACGUUGCUUGUGGAUUUUGCCUGGUGCUUCUCAUUAAAAACUCAGUGAAACAUGAGAGAAAUAGUUCUGACAAGUGAGGAUUUCCCAAAGACUCUGUCAAACUGACAGACAGAUAAAUAGACAUCGGGCAAGCAUGUUGUUGAUAGCAGAUUCCUUACUGUGAAAACACAGGUGUCUCUGAAGACUAGGGGAAAAACCCAUAUGUAAUUGACAAUGCUGAUAGUCGGUUUUAUGUAAGUUGCAAAAUCACUGACUUUCUCUGGAAUGAGAGUAGAUGUCAAACUAUUGGCAAUGUGUGGGAGAAAUUGAAAGCAACCGAUGAUUAACUCAUGGUGACACUAGGUUGUUGGCUUUGGUUGAGUUAUUUGUUCUGUUCAACAGAAUUAGGUUCUUAUUCCCGUAAGCAUAUUACUUCAAAUUCAUAUUUAAUCUUUUCUGACAUCUUUUCUUCCCUCUUCUGCUUUCCUUGUUUUCCCAUAAUAACUUCAAGUUUAUUAGAGCUGUUUGGUGUAUCUACAGUACAGUAAUGGUUCUAUGAGCUCCUUAGCUCUGGCUUGAGUGCACACUCUUUUCCGUCACGUGCCCUCUGUCACCAGUAAACUUUUUGAAAAGCGAGUUUAACAGGUCAUGAAAGAGCGGGACAGAUGGCUACAUUCUAGGUGGUAAUUAUCAACCACUUCUUCCCAAAAACAAGCAAAGGUGUUGCCAUCAGGUCAGGCAGCUGACAUUUCGCUAGUCAACUUCAAUCGAUGUCUGUCUUCUGCCACGGAGAUGGCGAGAGAACGGUGUCACAGGUCACACUCAUCCAUAAGAGGAUGUGCAUCACUCUGGAUCAAGUCUAUUAAGAGCUGACUAGUAGGUUGGAAAAUCAAAUGUGAUUCUACUGUAUUGUAGGCACUGGUUGAUGAGUGUUUUCUUUAGGUAGGUUUUCUGUGUUGUCGUGCACAGACUUGACAAGAUGGCGCUGAUUGACAUGGUCGUCCUGUUCAUGGCUCCACAAGCAUUUUGCUACACCUGCUAAAUAUGUGUAUGCGACCAAUAACAUUUUAUUUUAUUUGCUAUAAGACCUGAUUAGUGCAAAUCUUCCCGUCUCGACAAGCUGUUGGUAAUAUGUGUGUUUACUCUGCAUUUGACGAGCAGGGAUUGCUUUUGAAGAGCUUAACCGUUUAUUUUGGCGACGAGCUAUUGAAAUUGAAGGUGACAGCUAAUUUGAAUCUCUCUUAAUUUGGGCGAAUUGGAAUACUCUACACGGUGACGGCAGCUCCCCUUGUACACGCGUGCACAUGCAAAAAUAUGUAAAUGCUUCCCAUAUUAGAAUCUUUGUCUGCUUGUCAUUCUCACAUGGGACACAUCAAAGCCACAUGACCUGAUUUUGCACCUGCUGUUUAAUUAAAUUUACAAGACAGACAGUCUCCAGUCCUGGUGAUGUACAAAUCUGGUUUUAUUACCCGGGCCCUGUAAUUUACAAUGCAUUUGACUGAUGAGUGGUAAUGCUGCCUCCCAAAGAGGGAGGCACCAUUACCUUACUGCCAAUACAAGGGCCAUCCACAGACAUUUUGAACUUUCUCCUGAUAUUAGGCUCUGAGAGUGUUGCAAUUGACAUUGUUUAAAGGAAUUUGUAUUAUGAAUUCAUGGUUUGAUAACGGUUGUUAUUUUGUAAAUAUGAUGCACUCCGAUUGAUAUAUUAUUCAUAAUCCAUUAUGAUUAUAAUGGUAGUCAUUUAUUCCCAAUUUUAUACUCUCUAAUUACUUGUAAUUACAUUAGGGUAUACAUUACUUGCCAGCAUAUUCCUUUAUAAAACAACACAAUACAAAAUAAAAUACAAUACAAUUAAAAAUGAAAUGUUUUGUUCAAAAAGAG